UACAUGGGGUGCAAACGUUGCUCGGAAUCUUUGGGCGUAAAGCGCGCGUAGGCGGUUACUUAAGUCUGAUGUGAAAGCCCACGGCUCAACCGUGGAGGGUCAUUGGAAACUGGGGAACUUGAGUGCAGAAGAGAAAAGCGGAAUUCCACGUGUAGCGGUGAAAUGCGUAGAGAUGUGGAGGAACACCAGUGGCGAAGGCGGCUUUUUGGUCUGUAACUGACGCUGAGGCGCGAAAGCGUGGGGAGUAAACAGG
rnacentral:rRNA from 1 species